CCUACGGGUGGCAGCAGUGAGGAAUAUUGGUCAAUGGACGAGAGUCUGAACCAGCCAAGUCGCGUGAAGGAUGACUGCUCUAUGGGUUGUAAACUUCUUUUAUAUAGGAAUAAAACGAGGCACGUGUGCCUUUUUGUAUGUACUUUAUGAAUAAGCAUCGGCUAACUCCGUGCCAGCAGCCGCGGUAAUACGGAGGAUCCGAGCGUUAUCCGGAUUUAUUGGGUUUAAAGGGAGCGUAGAUGGGUAGUUAAGUCAGUGGUGAAAGUUUGCGGCUCAACCGUAAAAUUGCAAUUGAUACUGGCAGUCUUGAGUACAGUUGAGGUAGGCGGAAUUCGUGGUGUAGCGGUGAAAUGCUUAGAUAUCACGAAGAACCCCGAUUGCGAAGGCAGCUUACUAAACUGUGACUGACAUUGAUGCUCGAAAGUGUGGGUAUCAAACAGGAUUAGAUACCCCUGUAGUC
rnacentral:rRNA from 1 species